rnacentral:lncRNA from 1 species
CGCGCUUGCCUGGGUUCCAACCUCAAGUGAGAGCAUGGGGCUGAUGCGAAAUCUGGGAGGCUUUGGGACCAGCAUGGAGGAAGGGGCUUGUGGCCGGGGAGAAAGGAAUAGAAGCCUCGGGAAUUCCCCAGGCCGGACUCUAAAUGCUUGAGCCAUCAAAGACCUCUGGGGGACCCCUGGGGCACAGGUGGGGCUGAAUCACGCCAGAAGCAGGUGAGGGGUUGGGUACGCAGAGACACUCGAUUCGAGAAAAGCCCAUGGCGGCGGGAAGGGAAAACUUGUUUAUAAUUCCCACUGUGAGCCCGAAAGCGCGGAAGAGCUUUCUGCGGUGAGAACCCGAUUUCUGGAGCUAGAAAGACCCGGGGUAAAUUCCAGUUCUGUUACCCUUGUAGGCAGGGGCGGCCGAAGGAACCAGAGUAAGAGUCCGGUUUCUCUUCUGAAAAUAAUGUUUGUUAUGCGAGUUAGAGAAGUUAUUACCUGUAAAGCAAAUAGCCAACUCAGAAGUGGCAACUGCUAUUAUAUUCGGAAGACACACUUCUAUUCACUGGGUGGCUUAUGUAAACAUCACAACCAUUUUAUGAGGUUGGCUAACUAUCCACAUUUAAAAAAGAAAAGGAAGCAAACGAGGAUGAGGUUGGCAGAGCCAUGUGCUCAGGUUACAAGCUAGCUGUGAGGAAGCUCUGAUUUAAGGGCAGGUGUGCUUUAAAUCUCAGGCCUCGUCUAAAUAUCACACCUGCCUAAAACCACCAAUACAGCCUUCACAGCACCUAGCAGAGUGACCUGUCCCUGAACACCCAGGGAUAAAAUUGAAGGAGAAUGUGAAUGGACUUAGAACAUUGUCAUAUGUAGUCUGGAAUUUCUGGUACCUCAUCAGAAUCCUUGGUUCAGAUAGAGGCUCCUAGCUUUUCCUGCAGUGGCAGAUUGUCUGAAAUCACAGUGAAUUCCAAGAGUCAAGUUUGUAGCCCUAAAGUGAAUUUGUUUCCCUGACCCAGGUCCCAGAUCUUGGGAAACAAAUUUAUUUUAAAACAAAGCAGCUCUUGUGAUGUUCGAAUUGAGGUCUCCAGGAACAGCAUCCCUGUUCUUAUCCUCCUCGCUAGACCUUCAGAGCAGAAGCAAAAAACAGAGCUGUCAGAAGUAGUUCUUGAUCCUCCCUGCUCAGAUUUGGAGAUGUUGCCACAUCCAGAAGCCACCACACUGUGUGAUGGUGGGGGAUCUGGGCCACCUUUGAGAAGAGGGAGCUGGGGUGGCCCAGAAGUAUGUUGCCCAGGAACUUGCACUUGUGAGGGUGGGAUCUGGGGGUAAGGGGUAACCAGCCAGAGGGUGGAAAUUGUGUUCUGUUGUCAAAACUUAAAAAUAGCCAGUUAUUUUACCAGCAAAUUGAGUUUAUUUGGGAAUAGCAGAGGAAUUGCAAUGGGGGACAAGCAAACUAUGGCAAACCAUAGGCAAGUCCAAAGAGACAAAGGGAAGGUAAACUUUCACUAGGUUUUGGGAGGAAAAUGGGGAGGGUUUGGAAUAAAAGUCCAUUGGAAAAGAACAAGAGUUUGCGGUUGUGGCACUUAUUGGCUGCAAGCAGUGGUUAGUACCUAUUUGCUGGGUUGGGGAGGGAUCUUCCGUCUUUUUCUUAAAAGUAGGAAAUCGAAUUCCUGUGUGCAAAGUAAGAUGAUUCUUAACCUUGUUCCUGCAGGACAAGGAGCAUGUGUGAGAGCUCCCCAUUCAGGGCUUCCUGACUCCCAUUUUAAAUGAGGUUUCCUGCGUUUGUUUUGAUACCACUCUUGCUAAAUGGCCGUCAUUCCCUUCAUUCUUCACUGUUUACGGAUGCUGCACUGCUCUCAUACAUGUCCUUCACAAGUGACCAUCACCACAAGUAACAAUAUUGACUUAUCUUGAACUCAUAGAAUCCUAAAAUAAGGACUAAUGAAGGCUUUCCUUGGUUAUCUGCUACAGACUCUUAGAAGCUGUAAAGAAAUUGGAUGUUAGUGGUGACUUGUCAGGUGACACCUAUUUUGUGGCAGAGCCAGGAGGAAAACACAGUGCAGUUCACUUUCUCACUGGUAAGUCAUCAAAAGCAUCUUAUGAAAAGGACCCUUUGAGAAACUGUAACCCAGUGAAAGUUAAUGAAAAAUUCUUGCCUUAAAGCAUUCCAUAGUCCUUUUAUUGGGCUUUCUGUGGAUUUUCUCUUUUAAGAGCUAAGCAAUGUUACUAGGAAAAUAGUUAAGUGAUACAGCCUGAAUAUUUUGUUAAUUUUAAUGAAGGAGCAAUGCCUUAUCCUUCAUGUACUUUAUGCAUUAAAUGAAUACUAGUUCUUGCUCGUGUUGUUUCUGUUAAUCAUUCAGAAAAAAAAAAAAACCACUAAGUUAUCAUUUAACCGCAGAAAAAUUUGUUUAGCCAGUGAAAAGCUGUAGGUCUUAGGCCACAUGACGUUUUCUGAGUCUUACAUGGACAUGUGUCUCUGCGCGUUCCUCCCCAGGCCUCCCAGCUGAGUCUGCACAGCCCUCUGCACUUUCCCAAGAGCAGCAGCAUGAACACAUCUCAGGUGAGCUCUUUCUCCUUUCUUUCUCCACAUUGCACUGUAUUGGUUUUAUUUUAUUUAUUUAUUAAAAAUUUUUUAUGUUUAUUUAUUUUUGAGAUAGAAACAGAGCAUGAAUGGGGGAGGGGCAGAGAGAGAGAGACACACACAGAAUCUGAAACAGGCUCCAGGUUCUGAGCUGUCAGCACAGAGCCCGACGUGGGGCUCGAACCCACCAACCGUGAGAUCAUGACCCGAGAUGAAGUCGGACGCUUAACCUACUGAGUCACCCAGGUGCCCCAGCACUGUAUUGAUUUUAAUGGGGCUUAUAAGGGUCUGUACAUUACAUGGAAAAAGAGAACUAGGGAUAAAGCUAGUUUUGGGAGAAAAUACACAGUUUCAAUAUUAGCUCUUGAUGUUUGUUGUUGGUUCUGGGUAGGUAACCUUUGUUGAUGAUUAUAUUCCCUCCAGUUACCAGUUGGGUUAGAUUUCAGUUGAGUCAUGAAUGUGCUUUGAAUUAUAUUGAGAACUUUUUCUAUAUCUAUUGAAAUAAAGACAUAGCUUGUUUCCUUUAAUCUGUAAGUAUUGUGAAUAGCAUUAUGAAUUUUUAAAUAUUGUCGAUUUCCUGUACACACCCUUGCUGGUGAAUUGCUUGUAUACAUGUUGGCUGUGAUCUUUCUGCUGGUACAUAUUUCUGUAUCGUAAUUUAGGUGAGCCUAAUUUUUCAUGUGUUCCUAUCCAAUUUUGGUGUUGUGGUUAUAUUAGCCUAUAAGUAUAGGACACAUUUUUACUUAUUUUUUUUCUUGGGCUAAUGUUUUUCCCCCUGUAUUUUAUAUGAGAAAAAUUGCCUGUUAUUGGUGGGGGGAUUUUUAUGUGAAGAUUUUGAAUAUCAAAUCAGUUUAUUAAAUGAUCAUAAGUCUCCUGUGUCUCUUACCAUGUGUCUUUCAAAGAGCAGACGUGUUUUAAUCAACUUUUCAAAAUCUUUAAUCUUUUUUGCUUUUAUUAUUUAUGCUUUUUUUUGGUCUUGGUCAUAUGUAAAAAAUCUUUUCCUAAGCCAAAGUCACAAAGAUUUCCUCUCCGGUUUCUAGAAGUUUUAUAGGUCUGUGAUCAUUUUGAAUUCAUUUUUUCUUAUGGCACAAGGGAUAGGCCAAGAUUAUUUAUUUAGUUUUGUUUACAUAUGUCUGACAUUUGUUGCAAAUUUCGUUUGCGUUGUUGUUGUUGUUGUUGUUGUUGCAAAUGUUGUUUACAUAUGUCUAACAUUUGUUGCAAAGAAUACUCCUUCUCCACUGAAUUCCUUUGGCACCUCUUUUGGGAAUUAUUUGACUUUAUAUUCUUUGUGGUUCUGUUUCUGGAAUCCGUAUUCUCUUCUUAUCUGUGUUAGUCCUUUUGCUAACAUCAUACUGCCUAGAUUACUGUUGUUUCAAGAGAAGUUUUUUUUUUUUUUUAAUUUUUCAAUGUUUAUUUUUGAGAGAGAGACACACGCAGUGUGAGCAGGGGAGGGGCAAAAAGAGAGAGAGAAACAGAAUCUGAAGCAGGCUCAGGCUCUGAGCUGUCAGCACAGAGCCUGAUACAGGGCUCAAACUCAUGAACCAUGAGAUCAUGAAUCAUGAGACCUGAGCUGAAGUUGGAUGCUUAACCAACUGAACCACCCAGGCACCCCUAAGAUAAGUCUUGAAAUCAGUAAUGUGAAUCCCCCAAACUUUUUUCAUAAUUGAUUGGAUAUUGGAUAUUCUAAGUCCCCCUUUACCUCUUCAUAUAAGUUUUAGAAUCUGGCUUCUUUCUGUCUUCAAAAUUUGCUCUGAUUAUGUGUGUGAUUGCAGUGAUUAUAUACAUCAGUUUUAGACCUCCCUUUUGUGUUUCAAAAUCAUGUAACCAACAAUGCAGUGUAAAAUUCCAUCUGUGUAUUCAUAUAUAUCUAUAUGUAUGUGUAUAUAUAUAUAUAUAUAUAUAUAUGUAUGUGUAUAUAUAUGUAUUAAAUUUACAUCCAAGCUAGCAUAUAGUGCAACAAUGAUUUCAGGAGUAGAUUCCUUAAUGCCCCUUACGCAUUUAGCCCAUCCCCUCCCACAACCCCUCCAGUAACCCUCUGUUCCAUCUGUGUAAAAUUCCAUCUGUGUAUUCAUAUAUAUCUAUAUGUAUGUGUAUAUAUAUAUAUGUAUGUGUAUAUAUAUGUAUUAAAUUUACAUCCAAGCUAGCAUAUAGUGCAACAAUGAUUUCAGGAGUAGAUUCCUUAAUGCCCCUUACGCAUUUAGCCCAUCCCCUCCCACAACCCCUCCAGUAACCCUCUGUUCUCUGUAUUUAAGAUUGUCUUAUGUUUUAAUGUUUACUUAUUUUUGAGAGAGACAGAGACAGAAUGCAAGUGUGGGUUAGGGGCAGAGAGAGAGGGAGACACAGAAUCCGAAGCAGGCUCCAGGCUCUCAGCUGUCAGCACAGAGCCCGACCCAGGGCUCGAACCCACGAGUCGUGAGACCAUGACCUGAGCCGAAGUCGGACACUCAAUAGACUGAGCCACCCAGGUGCCCCUACAGUCUUUUAUGUUUUGUAACCCUCCCUGUUUUUAUAUUAUUUUCGCUUCCCUUCCCUUAUGUUCAUCUGUUUUGUAUCUUAAAGUCCUCAUAUGAGUGAGGUCAUAUGAUAUUUGUCUUUCUCUGACUAAUUUUGCUUAGCAUAAUUCUAGUGUAAGAUAAUGAUAGGGCCAUAAUAGGCAUACUUUAUAAAAUUUUGUUUUAAAUUCUCAACAGUAAACAUAAUACGUAUUAGUUUUCCAAGGCAUUUUCCAUAUUACCGGUUUUUGAGCCCCUCAGAUUGAAUAGAAAGUGUGUUAUUACAGGUAUCAGUGUCAUUCAAGGACGUGACUGUGGAGGUCACCCAGGAGGAGUGGCACCAGAUGGACCCUGCUCAAAGAACCCUAUACAGAGAUGUGAUGCUGGAGAACUACAGCCACCUGGUCUCACUGGGUGAGCAGAACUUACCAUGUGAUUUCCUCAAGAAUGCAAUUCCGUUUUCUCCUUCCUUUUAAUUUUUAAAUUGUAUUGGGGUAUAAUUAACAGAGUUAAAGUCAGUAGCUUUAAGUGUAUAAUUGUGAGUUUUAGAGAUGCCUGUAGGUGAUUACUACCACCAAAUAAUGAUAAAAUAUUGCUGUUACUCCAAAAAGUUUCAUUUUAGGUAUUUGUAGUCAUUUUUUCCUGAUCCCUCUCCCUGGCUCUGUCAACCAGUGAUCUACUUUCUAUCGCAAUAGUUUUUCCCUGUUAGAAUUUUAAAUACAUCAUAUAGUAUUUACUUUUUUCUUCUUUCAUGUAGAUUUUGGGAUUUAUGCAUGUUUUUGUACGUAUCAUUUUUUAUUCCUAACUAGUAUGCCUUUGCAUGCAUCUACCACAGUUUAUCUUCCAUGUAUAUCCCAGUUGAUAGAAUAGAGGUUUUUUCCUUUUGGGCUGUUAGGAAUAAAGUUG